rnacentral:rRNA from 1 species
UACGGAAGGCAGCAGUGGGGAAUAUUGCACAAUGGGCGAAAGCCUGAUGCAGCUAUGCCGCGUGUAUGAAGAAGGCCUUAGGGUUGUAAAGUACUUUCAUCGGGGAGGAAAACAAAACUAAUAAUUUUAUUUCUUGACGUUACCCGAAAAAGAAGCACCGGCUAACUCCGUGCCAGCAGCCGCGGUAAUACGGAGGGUGCUAGCGUUAAUCAGAAUUACUGGGCGUAAAGAGCACGUAGGUGGUUUUUUUAAGUCAGAUGUGAAAUCCCUGGGCUUAACCUAGGAACUGCAUUUUGAAACUGAAAUACUAGAGUAUCGUAGAGGGAGGUAGAAUUCUAGGUGUAGCGGUGAAAUGCGUAGAUAUCUGGAGGAAUACCUGUGGCGAAAGCGGCCUCCUAAACGAAUACUGACACUGAGGUGCGAAAAGCGUGGGGAGCAAACAGGGAUUAGAUACC